rnacentral:rRNA from 1 species
AGUGAACGCUGGCGGUAGGCCUAACACAUGCAAGUCGAACGGCAGCACAGUAAGAGCUUGCUCUUACGGGUGGCGAGUGGCGGACGGGUGAGGAAUACAUCGGAAUCUACUUUUUCGUGGGGGAUAACGUAGGGAAACUUACGCUAAUACCGCAUACGACCUACGGGUGAAAGCAGGGGAUCUUCGGACCUUGCGCGAUUGAAUGAGCGAUGUCGGAUUAGCUAGUUGGCGGGGUAAAGGCCCACCAAGGCGACGAUCCGUAGCUGGUCUGAGAGGAUGAUCAGCCACACUGGAACUGAGACACGGUCCAGACUCCUACGGGAGGCAGCAGUGGGGAAUAUUGGGCAAUGGGCGCAAGCCUGAUCCAGCCAUACCGCGUGGGUGAAGAAGGCCUUCGGGUUGUAAAGCCCUUUUGUUGGGAAAGAAAAGCAGCAGGUUAAUACCCCGCUGUUCUGACGGUACCCAAAGAAUAAGCACCGGCUAACUUCGUG